rnacentral:lncRNA from 1 species
GCAUCAAGAUUAGCACUAUCUCCAAACCGAGCUUCCACUUGAGCCCCUUUACCUAGGAGCACCAUCGUGUGCGUCCUAAAUGGUUUCUUAGUGUCUAGUGCAUUAGGCGCAAACCAUGCACCUAUCUUGCACCAAAACUAACACUAUCUCCAAACAGACCGAAGUGAGAUUCCAUAUGACAUACGUCAUCUAAGAGUUCUAUUAGGUGCGUCUAAAUUAAUUUAUGAGCAUAUGGUAGAUUCCAUGCAAACCAUGCACCUAUC